CACUUCCACUCGUAACUAUUAUUUCGCUUAACAAAAAGUUGAAAAUUCAACAUAACGGUUGGAAGCUGUAUGAAACUGCACGAAAGGCGAUGACCUCGCUCCAGGCAAACGCCUUAAUAUUUCUCGCCAUGGUAUUCCAUGCGGGCCUUUGCAAGGGUGCGUCGAACUUUCAAAACUUGAUGACAAUUUGGCAGCAUUACAGUGGUCAAGUGCAGGAAGGAAAUAGCUCCUACUUUGGAUAUUAUCCAGGAGGUGGAGAAUGCUCCUUUGAUCCUCUCACGAUGGACUACAGCCACAGAGGCUGGGUAAAGGUG